rnacentral:misc_RNA from 1 species
AAGUCGUAACAAGGUUUCCGUAGGUGAACCUGCGGAAGGAUCAUUAGCGAAGUUCGGAAUGCAUGUUCGGUGUUGAUGCUGCCCAGCAAUGGGAUGUGCUCACUCGGAUGUGUGUCCCUUCUCUAUCCACCCCACUGUGAACCAAGUGUGUGAGCCGAAGAGCAAUCGGACGCUCGCAUGCAAACCUUUAACAUACCCCAAUUAAGUAUCAGAAUGUACCUUGCGUUAACUCGCACAAAUAUAACUUUCAACAACGGAUCUCUUGGCUCUC